CUACGGGGUGCUCCAGUGGGGAAUAUUGGACAAUGGGGGAAACCCUGAUCCAGCAAUGCCGCGUGUGUGAAGAAGGCCUGCGGGUUGUAAAGCACUUUCGGUUGGGAGGACUGCUUCUAGCACUAAUAUUGUUGGAAGUUGACGUUACCUUCAGAAGAAGCACCGGCUAACUCCGUGCCAGCAGCCGCGGUAAUACGGAGGGGUGCAAGCGUUAAUCGGAAUUACUGGGCGUAAAGCGCGCGUAGGCGGCUAGAUCAGUCGGGGGUGAAAGCCCCGGGCUUAACCUGGGAACUGCAUCCGAUACUGUCUAGCUUGAGUACAGGAGAGGAGAGUGGAAUUCCACAUGUAGCGGUGAAAUGCGUAGAUAUGUGGAGGAACACCAAUGGCGAAGGCAGCUCUCUGGCCUGAUACUGACGCUGAGGUGCGAAAGCGUGGGGAGCAAACAGGAUUAGAUACCCUAGUAGUC
rnacentral:rRNA from 1 species